UGCGUAGGUGGCGAUGUAAGUCUGGUGUGAAAUCUCGGGGCUCAACCUCGAAAUUGCAUUGGAUACUGCGUUGCUGGAGGGAUUGUAGAGGAGAGUGGAAUUCACGGUGUAGCAGUGAAAUGCGUAGAUAUCGUGAGGAAGACCAGUUGCGAAGGCGACUCUCUGGGCAAUUCCUGAACACUGAGGCACGAAGGCGUAGGGGAGACAAACG
rnacentral:rRNA from 1 species